UUGACAUUAUUAGAGUGGUAGUACUACUUAAACUUUUUACAACUUUGUUGUAGUUUACAACUUUGUUUUCAAAACACGCGCUUUAAUUGGUAUUUCUUAACCAUUUCCUUUCACAUAUUUACAACACUUUUUAAUUUAACAUGAAAUCAUUUAUGAUGAUUUUAUUUGCCUUAUUUCUCUCACAUAAAAUUACAUCCAAGCGUUAUAUGUAUUAUACUUUAGUCAGCAUAUAAUUUUCUCAGAUGGAGACCACGGAGUUGCAACGCUAAAAAAGAAAGAAAGAAAGAAAGAAACAAAAAAAAAAAAAAUAAAAAAAAUUCCCUUUUGAGUUAUGAAGAUUACGAUUUUACAUUCUUUCUAUAUUGCUGGAAGCGUGAGUUGUGAAUCCAAUGCAUGUCAGUCUUGCUCAUUAACUUCCCGCUCUCAUUAAUUUCUCGCUCAUUAACUUCCCGCUCUCAUUAACUUCCCUCUUCAUCUUCCCCAUAAAGAAUUUAAAAUACAUAACUUCUCUCUCGCUAUACUCCCUCUCUCUUUGUCACUCAACUUUGCUUUCUUCUUGCUUCUCUUCUAGUCUCCGGUCGUUUAUGAUUGUUCGUUGUUUGGUGGUUCUUGUUCUGGCAUUGGCAUCGUUCUCCUACUAAUACAGCUCACGAUGAAGGAAAUUACACAGGAUCUUUAGGAAAAAGGAGUGGAUAAAAGCCAGAAAGCGGUUGCUGCUGAUAAAAGCCAGAAAUUGGUUGCUGCUGGUAAAAGAAAAAUGCACAUACCUGAGAAAAGCAGUAAAAAGAGCAAAGGACAAGGGGUUGAACCUUCCUAUCAAGUGACCUACAUUAACGAGUUGCUUGCACAUGGCAUGGGGGGGGGGGGGGACAGAAUUAUUAGAAGAUUCAGAUGAGGGUAGUACUGAAGAUGAAUCAGAGCAGGAAAGUGACAAUGGAGGUGGUGAUGAGCAGGAUGAGGAUGAAGAGUUGCAGCAUUUGGACAGGAAAAUUAAUAAGGGCAAGGCUGAAGCAAGCAAGUUGAAGAAGCAAAAGGCAAAAUCAAGGGAAGCUAAAUUGAUAAAUGAUGUCAGGGCUAGGGUGUUGGAUCCGCAGCAGGUGGUAAUAUUUUGAAAGAGAGUAUGAAGUUAUGAUUUUUUGCAUUUCAUUCAUUUAUUUUGUUAUUUUAAUAGGUUGUUGGUUUGUAUGUGUAUAUUUAGGCGGAUGAUAAUCAUCCACUUGGAGUUGUUGUGAUAGAGAAGAAGAGGGUAGUAGAUACCCAAUCACAUUUUUGUUCCAAGGUGUGUUUUGAAGACAUUGAUUUGUUUUAUGAUAGUGGGAAAUUUUUGUUCCAAUGCGCUGGUAUCACAGUUUGUGUUUACUAUUGUGAUGAACAACCUGCGAAUUUCAUGUUCCGCGUGGAUUCAUUUAGCAAGGUUGUUGAUGGACUAGAUCCUACAAGGAAGACGACAGUUGAAGAAAUGGGGUUUGGUUCACUUUUGAACCUGAAGGUGAAUCGAUUAGACAGGAAGUUCUGCUACUGGUUACAUAUUAGGGUGGAUCCUGUCAGCAGUGUGAUGUGAUUUGGGGAUGGUAUGGAGUUGCCUUUAAGUCCCAUGCAGUGGAAUUGUGUGCUAGGAAUACCGUACAUACGCGAGCCUGUGCCGCUGACUUGUGAAAAGCUGGACUUAAACAUGAACAAAAUAGUUAAGCUGAUUGGGAAGUGCUUUGGAGUUUUGGAUGCACAGGGAAGGACGCAUAUCUCAGUUGGGCGGGCCGUAGUUGCGAUACAGUUAGUUUUGGAAGAAAAGGGGUUAUCAGGCGGGCCCUUAGUUGAUGAUGAUGAUGUGUUGUAUUUAAGGACUGCAUUUUUUGUUGUUUUGUUGGGUCAGGUAUUAUGUCCUUCAACCGACGGCGGUAGUUUGUCGACCUCUUUGGUGCUGGGCGUUGCGAUAGCUCAUGAGGCGGAGCUAUACAAUUGGGCAGAGUUUAGCCAUGAUUGGCUGAUGGUAUAUUAGACAAAAGUUUAGCAGAAGUUUGGGAGGUAUGGCUUUGUUGUUGGUUGUGGUGGGUGUACGCUGUUUGUACAUCUAUUUUACGUUGGACAUUUGAUUUUGACUCCCAAUUUAUGGGGUGAGAUGCCGAGGAUUGAUGUAUGGACGCAGGAGAGAGUGAUCGGUGUUAUUGAAAAAGACAAGAGGAAUUCUGGUGACUAUAGGAAGUUGAAGGUAAGCUUAAGCUUGUCAUUUAGUCUGUAAUUCUGUAUUUAUUUAUGUAUUUUUUUGUUGGUUGUGUAUUGAUAUUUAUGUGUACAUACAGUGCAUUGAUGUUACAUACGGUGAGCGGCAUCCUCGCCUUGCGAAGGAUAGGAGAUUGUCGCAGGAGUUGGCUAGAUGCUCAAUGGAGGAUCUGAUUGUUAGAAAGGUAUGCUCAAUAGAUAUAUUUCAAUUUUGCAUGUCUUUUGAUCCUGGUUGAGCUUGUGCAGGUAGUGAAAGACUUAUCUCCUCAUUUGGAAUCAAUCGAGCGCUGCAUGGAGACAUUGUCCAGGAAAAGGGUGAAAAGUGGCAGUAGUAGGGGAAGUCAGCCUUUGAAGGGACUGCGAGCAGUUGCAGAGGCUGCAUUGAAGGAGGUUGAUGCAGAUGCAGCAGCUCGGAAGAAAAGUGUUCAAUGGGAUGACAUAGGGGGUAAUAAGAUUGUGGAAGGUAAUCCUAUGAUGAAGGAUUAUGACAAUUUAUCCUCCAUAAAUGAGGUGCUUCUGAGCAUAAAUGCUAAAGCUGACCUGCGUAAGGAGAAUGCUGGAGAGAAUGCAGGAGGGGGAGAGAAUGCAGGUGGAGGAGAGAAUGCAAGUUUGUUAGGGAAUAAAGAUCUAGUAGAUAGGGAUGGAGAGAUUUGAACCGGGGGGGGGGGG